AUAUCAAUAAGCGGAGGAAAAGAAACCAACAGGGAUUGCCUCAGUAACGGCGAGUGAAGCGGCAACAGCUCAAAUUUGAAAUCUGGCGUCCGCCCGAGUUGUAAUUUGCAGAGGAUGCUUCGGGGCCGCGGCCGAUCUAAGUCCUUUGGAACAGGGCGUCAUAGAGGGUGAGAAUCCCGUAUGUGACCGGCUGGCACCCCACACGUAGCUCCUUCGACGAGUCGAGUUGUUUGGGAAUGCAGCUCUAAAUGGGAGGUAAAUUUCUUCUAAAGCUAAAUACCGGCCAGAGACCGAUAGCGCACAAGUAGAGUGAUCGAAAGAUGAAAAGCACUUUGGAAAGAGAGUCAAACAGCACGUGAAAUUGUUGAAAGGGAAGCGCAUGCAACCAGACUUGUCGGCGGUGUUCCCCCGGUCUUCUGACCGGGUCACUCGCCGCCGGCAGGCCAGCAUCGUUUGCGACCGCCGGAGAAAGGCGUAGGGAAUGUGGCUCCUCGGAGUGUUAUAGCCCUGCGCACAAUACGGUGCGUCGCGAGCGAGGUCCGCGCUUCGGCUAGGAUGCUGGCGUAAUGGUCGUAUGCGGCCCGUCUUGAAACACGGACCAAGGAGUCUACCAUCUAUGCGAGUGUUCGGGUGUCAAACCCCUACGCGCAAUGAAAGUGAACGGAGGUGGGAACGCAAGUGCACCAUCGACCGAUCCUGAUGUCUUCGGAUGGAUUUGAGUAAGAGCAUAGCUGGUGGGACCCGAAAGAUGGUGAUCUUUACUUGAAUAGGGUGAAGCCAGAGGAAACUCUGGUGGAGGCUCGCAGCGGUUCUGACGUGCAAAUCGAUCGUCAAAUUUGGGUAAAGGGGCGAAAGACUAAUCGAACCAUCUAGUAGCUGGUUCCUGC
rnacentral:rRNA from 1 species